AUUGAACGCUGGCGGCAUGCUUUACACAUGCAAGUCGAACGGUAACAGGCCUUCGGGUGCUGCCGAGUGGCGAACGGGUGAGUAAUGCAUCGGAACGUGCCCAGAGGUGGGGGAUAACGCAGCGAAAGCUGUGCUAAUACCGCAUGUGAUCUGAGGAUGAAAGCGGGGGACCAGGCAGCAAUGUUUGGCCUCGCGCCUUUGGAGCGGCCGAUGUCAGAUUAGGUAGUUGGUGGGGUAAAGGCCUACCAAGCCGACGAUCUGUAGCUGGUCUGAGAGGACGACCAGCCACACUGGAACUGAGACACGGCCCAGACUCCUACGGGAGGCAGCAGUGGGGAAUUUUGGACAAAGGGCGCAAGCCUGAUCCAGCAAUGCCGCGUGCGGGAAGAAGGCCUUCGGGUUGUAAACCGCUUUUGUACGGAACGAAAAGGCUCUGGCUAAUACCUGGGGCUGAUGACGGUACCGUAAGAAUAAGCACCGGCUAACUACGUG
rnacentral:rRNA from 1 species